rnacentral:RNase_P_RNA from 1 species
UCAGAUGGCCGGGUGACCGCCGCCGCGUUUCGCGGGGGAGGAAAGUCCGGGCUCCACGGAGACAGGGUGCCGGGUAACGCCCGGCGAAGGUAACUUCAGGGACAGUGCCACAGAGAGCAGACCGCCGGAACGCCGGGCGAAAGUCCGGCCGGCCGGCAAGGGUGAAAGGGUGCGGUAAGAGCGCACCGCGCUGACGGUAACGCCAGCGGCAUGGUAAACCCCACCCGGAGCAAAACCAAAUAGGGGCGGCAGGCGGGCGCGAGCCCGCGGGAUCUGUUUCCGGUCCGUCGCCCGGGUCGGUUGCUUGAGACGGCCGGCAACGGUCGUCCUAGAGGAAUGGUCACCCGUCGCGGGCAACCGCGGCGACAGAACCCGGCUUACAGGCCAUCUGACAUC